GGAGGUGGAUGGGCGAUCGCCGGCGGGCCUUUGGGCCCGCGGGAGGAAAGUCCGGGCUCCACAGGGCAGGGAGGUCGUUAACGGCGACCCGGGGAAACUCGAGGGAAAGCGCAACAGAAACCACACCGCCGAUGGCCGUUGAUCUGCCGAGCGUUGAGAGGCGAGCGGCAGGGAGGCACAGGCAAGGUUGAAAUCGUGGGGUAAGAGCCCACGCGCGACAGCCGGGUGACCGGCGGCGGAGCAAGCCCCUCCCGGAGCAAGCUCGAAUAGGGGCACUGAUGAGGGCGGCCCGCCCGAUGCGUCGCACAGCGGCGCCAGUGCCCGGGUUGAGUGCUCGAGCGGCGCAGCAAUGCGCCGCCUAGAUGAAUGAUCGCUGCCGCGCGUCGGGCAACCGGCAUGCGGAACAGGACCCGGCUUACAGUCCACUUCGGCGC
rnacentral:RNase_P_RNA from 1 species